rnacentral:rRNA from 1 species
UGGGGAAUAUUGCACAAUGGGGGAAACCCUGAUGCAGCGACGCCGCGUGAACGAAGAAGGUAUUCGUAUCGUAAAGUUCUGUCCUAUGGGAAGAUAAUGACAGUACCAUAGAAGAAAGCUCCGGCUAAAUACGUGCCAGCAGCCGCGGUAAUACGUAUGGAGCGAGCGUUGUCCGGAAUUAUUGGGCGUAAAGGGUACGCAGGCGGUUUAAUAAGUCGAAUGUUAAAGAUCGGGGCUCAACCCCGUAAAGCAUUGGAAACUGAUAAACUUGAGUAGUGGAGAGGAAAGUGGAAUUCCUAGUGUAGUGGUGAAGUACGUAGAUAUUAGGAGGAAUACCAGUAGCGAAGGCGACUUUCUGGACACAAACUGACGCUGAGGUACGAAGGCGUGGGGAGCAAACAGG